rnacentral:rRNA from 1 species
AUUGAACGCUGGCGGCAUGCCUUACACAUGCAAGUCGAACGGCAGCACGGGAGCAAUCCUGGUGGCGAGUGGCGAACGGGUGAGUAAUAUAUCGGAACGUGCCCAGUAGUGGGGGAUAACCCGGCGAAAGUCGGACUAAUACCGCAUACGACCUACGGGUGAAAGCGGGGGAUCGCAAGACCUCGCGCUAUCGGAGCGGCCGAUAUCAGAUUAGCUUGUUGGUGGGGUAAAAGCCUACCAAGGCGACGAUCUGUAGCUGGUCUGAGAGGACGACCAGCCACACUGGGACUGAGACACGGCCCAGACUCCUACGGGAGGCAGCAGUGGGGAAUUUUGGACAAUGGGCGCAAGCCUGAUCCAGCCAUGCCGCGUGCGGGAAGAAGGCCUUGGUUGUAACCGCUUUGUCAGGAGAACGGUUGAGCUAAUACCUCGAACUAAUGACGGUACCUGAAGAAUAAGCACCGGCUAACUACGUGCCAGCAG